rnacentral:lncRNA from 1 species
ACCCUUAGAUCCAUCCAAUCCUAAUCUAACGAGUUCAGAACUCAUUAUCAAAGUGUGGGUUGCUGAUCUCUGCUAGUGUCUCACAUGGAUUGGAGUUUGUUCAGAUCACUCACACCAUACAAAGGUGUCCGACUUCUAUAGAUCGUCCAUAUAAGAAUGGAUGUUGAUCUGGCUCCUCGGGAAUGCUAGCUUGUAAAGAUCUGACUUCUAUAGAUCGUCCAUAUAAGGUGUCCGACUUCUACUUCAUCUUUCUUUGAUCUCU